rnacentral:lncRNA from 1 species
UUGAGCUUCCUUGGUUGGCACUUCCAUUUUUAUGGACAAGAGUUCCACUUAUGUGGAUGUCAUCUACCUACGAUACUUCAAGGACUUUGAGUGGACCCAUGAGUACAAAUGAGGGCCACUUGUUUGGUCUACUUGCACUCUAAGUUAUCCAAGGGAUAUUGGUGGAAGACGAAGUAGGUGACAAGCAACAUCACACUUUGACGGUAGUAUUU